rnacentral:rRNA from 1 species
GACGUAGGGGGCGAGCGUUGUCCGGAUUUACUGGGCGUAAAGCGCCCGCAGGCGGUUUCUUAAGUCAGAUGUGAAAGCCCCGGGCUUAACCUCGAGCUGUCGGCGGAAACCAUCUGGCUAGAGUCCGGAAGAGGAGAAUGGAAUUCCCGGUGUAGCGGUGAAAUGCGCAGAUAUCGGGAAGAACACCCGUGGCGAAGGCGGUUCUCUGGGACGGUACUGACGCUGAGACGCGAAAGCGUGGGGAGCAAACAGG